AUUUAAGCACAUACCUGAACGAACAGAUUCUUACCAUAUUGUAUUAUAUAAAUGUUUUAAAUGCGGUGUUUUGUUGUCAUGCCAAAUUAAAGGUUUUAUUACCUUUCAUUUGGCGGUUCACUCUGCUAUCACGAACAAAAUAAUCUUUUUGUCAGCGUGGAACAUAAGUUAAUUUUCUACUUUUUGGCACAAGAGGAAUUUUAGAACAAGAGCAUUAGGUAAUCUUAAUGCAGCAAGCACAAAUAUUUCAUUAUUUUUAUUCUGAACUCACCUUUAACCCUGUCUUCAUAUAAGAAAUCAGAUAACUGAUCAGCAAUGUAAGAAACACUUUAAUGGAACACACAAACCUGAUUAGACAUGUUUUUACAAAUUUUAGUUGGCAUUCUACAGAAACAAAGGAUUUAAAGAUUAGAUAGUGAAAUUCUACUCAGAAUCUGCUUUGAUUUAACCUACUACCUUGCAAGUAAAAACCUAUUUUAGUUGCAAAAGAGGCAACCUUCAUGCCUUAUAAUAUAAUGUGUAAGUAUUAAUUUUUAUUAUUACACUUGUUUACAGUGAGAAAACUUGGGUCAGCCAAACGAUUGUUCCCAAAAAUAGAAAAUAUUUAAUGACAUUGGAAUUUUGUCCGAAUGUCAGUCUGGCUCAGUAAGACUUUGAAACUUAAAUUCCAGUUUUUAAAUUUAUCAUCAAUAAUCCCAUCAAUCAUCUCGUUUUAUGGUGUCACAGGUGAAUUUCAGAAUCACAAAACAAAAUGAACAUGCAUCCACCAUUGUGAAUUUCUAUUGGUUUGUGAUUCAAGUACAUUUCAGCUCGCAGUUCAGAAAUUCAACCAAUCCCACGAUUGGCCCAAAUUCAGACAAACUGUAGUUUGGACCAAAAUAAAUCUAAGUAUAAUUAUAAUGAGGUAUAAAUGUGAAAUAAACAUCAUUACUUGUUUUUGCAAAUAUUUGUGAAUCUAAUCGAAUGAUUAGUAGCUCAGUGUGCCGUUCAUUGGCUGAGAAUGGUCAGCUGAUACUCUCAGUCAAUGAAUGUGGAUUAGCUUGUAGCUUGGCAGCUCUACAGAAGCAGGAAGCAUGUCGUCACGGUGGCAAGGAGACUCGGAAUCCAGUAGGGACCCAGGUUAGAUAGAAAACCAUUACUAAAUGGUUUGCCCCAAUACCCAAUAUGAUAAAGGCCAAAGUGAAGUGUCGAUUUUGUGCCUCUUUGAAGUGAAAUAUAAUAUUACAUUGGAACCAAUUUGUGAACCGAAUGUAAUUCAUGAAUGUCACAUCACAACAUCACCACCACAUUUUCAUAAAAAAUAUGUACGCAUAACCUUUAUUAGAAAAGUAGGAUGCAUAGCAAAUUAGGACAUAAAGCAUAAUUUGGUGAAUAUUGCUAUUUGGAGUUUCUUUAAAAUAAUAACUUAUAUUAAUUAAAGUACCAUAUAUACUCAAGUAUAAGUCUAGUUUUUCAGCACAUUAUUUGUGCUGAAAAAUCCCCACUCGACUUAUACUCGAGUCAGUGUCUGUAUUAUGGCAACUUACAUUGCCAUAAUACAGACCAGGACCGCCAGGCUCAUUACAAGCCCGGUGGUCCUGUUGGGGGCUGGCAGAUAGCUGUUACUUACCUUCCUGCAGCUCCUGUCAGCUCCCUUCUCCUCCACUGUAAGUCUCGCGGUGUGACUGCCGCGCGGAGCCUUGCCACGGUAAUCCGUGGCAACGCUAUGACCGCGCGGCUCUCGCGAGACUUGCAGUGGAGCUGGCCGGACCAGUGGAGAAAGGAG